rnacentral:rRNA from 1 species
GGUUAAGCGACUAAGCGUACACGGUGGAUGCCCUGGCAGUCAGAGGCGAUGAAGGACGUGCUAAUCUGCGAUAAGCGUCGGUAAGGUGAUAUGAACCGUUAUAACCGGCGAUUUCCGAAUGGGGAAACCCAGUGUGAUUCGUCACACUAUCAUUAACUGAAUCCAUAGGUUAAUGAGGCGAACCGGGGAACUGAAACAUCUAAGUACCCCGAGGAAAAGAAAUCAACCGAGAUUCCCCCAGUAGCGGCGAGCGAACGGGGAGGAGCCCAGAGCCUGAAUCAGUGUGUGUGUUAGUGGAAGCGUCUGGAAAGGCGCGCGAUACAGGGUGACAGCCCCGUACACAAAAAUGCACAUGCUGUGAGCUCGAUGAGUAGGGCGGGACACGUGGUAUCCUGUCUGAAUAUGGGGGGACCAUCCUCCAAGGCUAAAUACUCCUGACUGACCGAUAGUGAACCAGUACCGUGAGGGAAAGGCGAAAAGAACCCCGGCGAGGGGAGUGAAAAAGAACCUGAAACCGUGUACGUACAAGCAGUGGGAGCCUCUUUAUGGGGUGACUGCGUACCUUUUGUAUAAUGGGUCAGCGACUUAUAUUCUGUAGCAAGGUUAACCGAAUAGGGGAGCCGAAGGGAAACCGAGUCUUAACUGGGCGUUAAGUUGCAGGGUAUAGACCCGAAACCCGGUGAUCUAGCCAUGGGCAGGUUGAAGGUUGGGUAACACUAACUGGAGGACCGAACCGACUAAUGUUGAAAAAUUAGCGGAUGACUUGUGGCUGGGGGUGAAAGGCCAAUCAAACCGGGAGAUAGCUGGUUCUCCCCGAAAGCUAUUUAGGUAGCGCCUCGUGAAUUCAUCUCCGGGGGUAGAGCACUGUUUCGGCAAGGGGGUCAUCCCGACUUACCAACCCGAUGCAAACUGCGAAUACCGGAGAAUGUUAUCACGGGAGACACACGGCGGGUGCUAACGUCCGUCGUGAAGAGGGAAACAACCCAGACCGCCAGCUAAGGUCCCAAAGUCAUGGUUAAGUGGGAAACGAUGUGGGAAGGCCCAGACAGCCAGGAUGUUGGCUUAGAAGCAGCCAUCAUUUAAAGAAAGCGUAAUAGCUCACUGGUCGAGUCGGCCUGCGCGGAAGAUGUAACGGGGCUAAACCAUGCACCGAAGCUGCGGCAGCGACACUAUGUGUUGUUGGGUAGGGGAGCGUUCUGUAAGCCUGCGAAGGUGUACUGUGAGGUAUGCUGGAGGUAUCAGAAGUGCGAAUGCUGACAUAAGUAACGAUAAAGCGGGUGAAAAGCCCGCUCGCCGGAAGACCAAGGGUUCCUGUCCAACGUUAAUCGGGGCAGGGUGAGUCGACCCCUAAGGCGAGGCCGAAAGGCGUAGUCGAUGGGAAACAGGUUAAUAUUCCUGUACUUGGUGUUACUGCGAAGGGGGGACGGAGAAGGCUAUGUUGGUACGGGCGACGGUUGUCCCGGUUUAAGCGUGUAGGCUGGUUUUCCAGGCAAAUCCGGAAAAUCAAGGCUGAGGCGUGAUGACGAGGCACUACGGUGCUGAAGCAACAAAUGCCCUGCUUCCAGGAAAAGCCUCUAAGCAUCAGGUAACAUCAAAUCGUACCCCAAACCGACACAGGUGGUCAGGUAGAGAAUACCAAGGCGCUUGAGAGAACUCGGGUGAAGGAACUAGGCAAAAUGGUGCCGUAACUUCGGGAGAAGGCACGCUGAUAUGUAGGUGAAGUCCCUCGCGGAUGGAGCUGAAAUCAGUCGAAGAUACCAGCUGGCUGCAACUGUUUAUUAAAAACACAGCACUGUGCAAACACGAAAGUGGACGUAUACGGUGUGACGCCUGCCCGGUGCCGGAAGGUUAAUUGAUGGGGUUAGCGGUAACGCGAAGCUCUUGAUCGAAGCCCCGGUAAACGGCGGUACCGUAACUAUAACGGUCCUAAGGUAGCGAAAUUCCUUGUCGGGUAAGUUCCGACCUGCACGAAUGGCGUAAUGAUGGCUAGGGCUGUCUCCACCCGAGACUCAGUGAAAUUGAACUCGCUGUGAAGAUGCAGUGUACCCGCGGCAAGACGGAAAGACCCCGUGAACCUUUACUAUAGCUUGACACUGAACAUUGAGCCUUGAUGUGUAGGAUAGGUGGGAGGCUUUGAAGUGUGGACGCCAGUCUGCAUGGAGCCGACCUUGAAAUACCACCCUUUAAUGUUUGAUGUUCUAACGUUGGCCCCUGAUCGGGGUUGCGGACAGUGUCUGGUGGGUAGUUUGACUGGGGCGGUCUCCUCCUAAAGAGUAACGGAGGAGCACGAAGGUUGGCUAAUCCUGGUCGGACAUCAGGAGGUUAGUGCAAUGGCAUAAGCCAGCUUGACUGCGAGCGUGACGGCGCGAGCAGGUGCGAAAGCAGGUCAUAGUGAUCCGGUGGUUCUGAAUGGAAGGGCCAUCGCUCAACGGAUAAAAGGUACUCCGGGGAUAACAGGCUGAUACCGCCCAAGAGUUCAUAUCGACGGCGGUGUUUGGCACCUCGAUGUCGGCUCAUCACAUCCUGGGGCUGAAGUAGGUCCCAAGGGUAUGGCUGUUCGCCAUUUAAAGUGGUACGCGAGCUGGGUUUAGAACGUCGUGAGACAGUUCGGUCCCUAUCUGCCGUGGGCGCUGGAGAACUGAGGGGGCUGCUCCUAGUACGAGAGGACCGGAGUGGACGCAUCACUGGUGUUCGGGUUGUCAUGCCAAUGGCACUGCCCGGUAGCUAAAUGCGGAAGAGAUAAGUGCUGAAAGCAUCUAAGCACGAAACUUGCCCCGAGAUGAGUUCUCCCUGACCCUUUAAGGGUCCUGAAGGAACGUUGAAGACGACGACGUUGAUAGGCCGGGUGUGUAAGCGCAGCGAUGCGUUGAGCUAACCGGUACUAAUGAACCGUGAGGCUUAACCUU